GCUCCCGUGGCGGAACGGUAUACGCGCAGCGCUUAGGACGCUGUCCCGAAAGGGGUAGAGGUUCAAAUCCUCUCGGGAGCA
rnacentral:tRNA from 1 species